UUUUGUUUUCUUAGAGACUCAAUUUUAUAAUUAUUUAAGAACCCAGUGAAUAUGAUCAUCAAUACAAUAUGGUAUAAGAAUAGUAGUUAAAUUACUGUAUAAAGCAAUACUGCCCAUCAGUGAUUUUAAUGAUUUUCAUUCAAACUUCCCUUUCUGUCUUCUAUGUUCUUUUAAAAUUUUCACAUAAAUAAUAAAAAGGUGGUUGGCCUUAAUACUUUUCUCAUCCACCCUCAACCACUUUUGUUAAAAUAAAUUCUAACCUCAUGUCUCAUUCAGACUUUAGGUCCAAGUCCUCACUUCAUCAAGAUGAGUAGGAUUUUCCCAUUAUUUUUUAGUUGAUUUGAGGGCAGAGUGGGAUCUCAUGAAAAAGGGCUAGGUAUCGAUCUCGUACAUUCAUGAAACCUUCAGACCCUGAAAACAGGCUCUUCACAGAGCAUUUGCAGUUGUCGUGGGGCUGUUCCGAUCCCUGUAUUUUUUUCUGAUUUAUUUUUGCUAUUUCUCUUCCAAAUCCCUCUUGACUGCUACUGUGACUGCAGUUUUUAUUAAGUAUGGAUACUUACAACAGCCUGCAUAGAUUCCCUGUUGAAAGUCAGUGAAGAAAUAACUGCUUCUCCUAUUUGUCUUGUCCUUCAAUAUGUAUCUAAAACAGGUAAGAUGAGUCACAGUCUUUAACAGUCUGUUUCUAUUCACUGACUGUAUAGGAACAUCAGGAUAUAGGAUACACGCUCAGCUAAAGGCACUUGGUUAAAGCAAGAUAAUAAUACAUCCUGAAACUUUGAUACAGAUCACAUUAAAUAAAUGAACAGUGUACUUCCUCUUGAAAACACGCUGUGCAAGACAUGGACACAUGAAGUAGUCGUAGGCAUAUUAACAACUUUCCAGUGCAGAAUGGGAACUCUCUAUCCUAUUUACUUUGCCACAGUUUUAGCCACAUAUGUUUGUUGCUUACCUUGCACCAUUUGGCAUUUAUUUGAUCACUAACUAAAAUGUCAGGGAAAUAACCUGGGAGAAGCAGAAGCUGUUUACUUCAUUAAAUAUUUAAUCUUGAGAUCACAGUUAUGGAUAUCUUGGACAGUGAGGCAGGGUAGAGAAACUGUGUUAUUGAGAGUGGAAAGAAAGGAUCUGGAUCAAAAGCAAGAGAGGGAGAGAACAAAUGAGGAAACAAGACAUCACCCUUUCAGCACUAUCAAACUUUUAAUUUUUUUGAAUUCUCACUUAAUAUGGCAACUCUUUAAUAAUCAGAAUAAUUGAAGAUCAAUUUUGGUGCAAUUUGUGCUUUCUUAUUCUGUUGCCAGG
ensembl:lncRNA